AAAUCCCGGUGGCACUCGUCUCCUUCCAGAAUGCACCCCUGAAAAAAAAAGUGGAAUAGUCCACAAGUCACAUGGUUCACCGAAAGUUGCAUCGUUCGGAACCUUCUGCCGGCCAUGGGAAGAGCAAAUCGGGUGAGGUGCAUCGCCCCACCCUGACAGUCUUCCCCCCCUCCAAAGACCAGCUGGAGACGGGCAAAGGCACGGCCGUGUGCACGGCCAGCGGGGGUUUACCCUCAUCCUGGACCCUGGGCUGGAAGGUGGGCGGCGCCCCUGAAACCUCGGGGGUGUCGCACAGCCCUGUGGGAGAGCCGGGCGCGGGUGGGCGCUUUAGCUGGACCAGCACCCUGACCCUCACCGCAGACCAGUGGAGCAAGUCCCCGUCGGUGAGCUGCGAGGCCACCCUGGCCGGACAGAACCCUGUCACGCAAACCCUGCCGGACCCGGGAAACUGCUCGCAGUAGAGCCCGAGUCCGAACCCAAGCGGGAGCCAUUGUCGUCGCAAAGUUGAAGCUUAAUGAAAUAAAAUGUAUGAUGAU